rfam:Triticum aestivum genome assembly, contig: Triticum_aestivum_CS42_TGACv1_scaffold_094706_2AL
AUGAAUGAAGAUAAGCACUGGGUUCUGAGUAGCUUACAUUGCUGCAUUCUUAUGGAGAUGCAUUUGCCUAAAAAGCAGUCUGAUAG